CGGUGUAUUAGCACAACGAGGUGAGCCCACUUGCCACAGAACCUCCAGGGUGUGUAACCUAUAGUGGGGAACACUCUUUUUCGCAAAACCAAACAAAACAAACAAUUCUGUAAUUCUAAUGCUGGUGGGGUUUGAAACGCUAAAUAACUAUAUGGUAGUCCAAUACUUUAGAUUCAUUUGCUUACAGGACAAUGAAGGAUAGAUGCAGAGUCUGCAUGGCUAUGGCCGGACCAUUCAUAAACAUUUUUGAUGAGCGACCAACAUGGGACACUUGCGUUGGUGACAUGAUAGCACAGUGCACCGGGUACGUGGUUGAGCGAGGCGAUUCGCUAUCCGAAAAGAUAUGUCCGUUUUGCCUGGAGGAUGCCGUGAGUGCCUUCAGUCUAAAGAAAACCUGUGAGCAGAGCCAUCAGGUGGAUUGGGAACAGUUGUUGGAUAGUCAGGUACGGUUUGAAACCAAACCGAGCCGAGGUGGCACGAUGAAACGACCGUACCAGUGUGCUGAGUGCUCAAGGUCUUUCGCAUAUUCCAAAAGUCUACGCAAUCACGUUUGCCACCAGUGCGACGACUGUGCAAAGUCAUUUAAGAGUGUGUCCAGGCUCAUCUUACACAGCCGUACACAGCACAAAGGCGAGCGACCAUAUCAGUGCACUGAAUGCUCCAAGACAUUUAAGCAGAAAUCCCAUCUAAACGCACACAAACAUACGCACACGAGGGAGCAGUUCUACCAGAGCACUGGCCGCACGAAAUCGUUUCAACAGCAGCUAACCCAUCACACUGAACACCCCCCCAGGAACCCGCGCGAGCAACCACUCAAGUGUGCGCACUGUGACAAAUUCAUUCUUGGGAAAAAAACUCUGCGAGAACAUACCCUCACACAUGCGGAAGAGCUGCCCUACCAGCAAGCACCCUGCUCAAAGUCUUUUGAGGAUCAAUCGAGCCUGCAAGUGCACAUCCCUUGCCCCGCGGUGGCACACCAGUGCGUCGAAUGCUCAAAGGCAUUUAUAAGCAAAGCCUGUCUGGAGAGGCACAUCCAACUGGAACACUACGAUGAACACAUCAUCGGCAUUUAAAGAACAAAACUGAUAUUACUUAAUACUUGGACCAUUCCUGUCUGGAAAGGCACAUCUCAUGGAAACGCACUGAAAACAAACCCAUACCAUGUUGGCGAUUAUUGAAUACAUUUAAUUAUAUGAAACCGUAAUUUUUGGAAUGCCCUGCCGCACCUACUGGAAGUAGUCGGAGUUUUUUCGCUCAGAAAUGAUUAUGGAGCACUUGUUGAACAAGGCAUGAUAGAAGAUACGGUACAGACUGUAAAACUAUAAUUAUUUGGAGAUCUAGUACCGGAUAAAAUAUAGUUUAAACCAUUGCAAUGUUUUGAUUUUUAUACCCGGUACUCGAAGAGUAAAUAGCGAAUAUUGUAUUUGUGCACAAAGUGAAUGUAUGUAACGCACAGAAGGAAACGUUUCCGACCCCAUAAAGUAUAUAUAUUCUUGAUCAGCAUCAAUAACCGAGUCGAUUGAGCCAAGUCUUUCUGUCCGUCCGUCCGUCCGUCUUGUUGAGCGCCUGGAUCCCAGAGACUAUAAGAGCUAGAGCCACCAAAUUUUGCAUCCAGACUUCUGUAUGCUCACACUGUUACAAGUUUAUUUCAAAAAUGAGCCACACGAUAUUACUUUUCGACCCACCGACUGCUCACUCCAUUCGUACACACCUGCACCGAUCGAAAUAUGUGACAAAUUUUGGCCUUGAGAGGUGGGAUGCAA
rnacentral:lncRNA from 1 species